rnacentral:rRNA from 1 species
GAUCAUGGCUCAGGAUGAACGCUGGCGGCGCGCCUAACACAUGCAAGUCGAACGGCACCCCUCUCUGGAGGGAAGCGAGUGGCGAACGGCUGAGUAACACGUGGAGAACCUGCCCCCUCCCCGGGAUAGCCGCCCGAAAGGACGGGUAAUACCGGAUACCCCGGGGUGCCGCAUGGCACCCCGGCUAAAGCCCCGACGGGAGGGGAUGGCUCCGCGGCCCAUCAGGUAGACGGCGGGGUNACGGCCCACCGUGCCGACAACGGGUAGCCGGG